CAGAAAAGUUUCAGAUGCAUGCAAUUAAAAUUGAACAGAUUUUUCUUCUGUUUUUCCCUUUACUGAAGUUCAUGAAAGACUGCUUAGUGCAAUGAAAGCAGAACAAACACCAGUCUACCUUGGUUUCUAUGCUCUUUAUCUCCAUGACGAGGAUUUCCAGCUCCUUGGCCUGAACCAAAACAAAGCCGGCCCCUUAUCGGCUACAGACACACAGCUGAGGAUGAGGGCGUCGCAGUCGCUCCUGGUGGCGGUGCCCGACUCGCCCACGCAUUUGAGGAGCUGCUUCACGGCGCCGUACUGCCUCUGCCGGACAAGCCGGUGCCCCGCCUUGACGUAGACGGCCUGCGCCUCCAGCUGGAAGUCCUGCGAGGGCAGGAGGGGAAAGGGAAGAGAGGAAGUCGAAUAAAAAUUUAAAAUACUCACUGUGACCGGAGCUCGAAAGAGUAGCGGCUUAACUUGUACCUGUAUGACUCUGUACGCGAUGCCGAACCCUUCCUCUACGUUUUUUCCUCCAAGCAUCACCUGUGACACAAGUGAAAAAAAACCCAUGUGAUUCCAGAGUUCAUUUGUUCACAAAUCCUUUGUCUUGUAAAAACAUCAUAAAACAUUAACUUUUUCCAACUUUAAUGUAAGGUCUGGGGGAUUUUAUGAGGUAGGAAAAUAAAAGACAAGUGGUUUUUGAUUUUUGCCAUUUUGCCUCACUAAAUAAUUAUGGAAGGCAUUUGUAUUAGGUCCCCUAUUUACUGUAAUACCCCAAAAUAAAAUCCAGAGCUGACAGUUUCCUUAAUUAGUCAGCACAUUAGUAAA